UCAAAACCACCACAGGCCAACUGCUUCAAUUCAGACUCUCUUCCCAGAUGACUUCAGACUGGUCACAUUUAAAACUGACCAUCACAGGCACUCCAUUCACAUUUGCUGGCUGCAGUUACUGUAUACUGACUCCUGUCUCAGAAAGCUUUGCAUCCCAUGACAGGAAGAGCCAAAUCAACUGUGUCAGCAGGACCUGGUAGAUUCUUCAGGAACUAUGUAAAUGCGUCCUGGGAGUGUUUGAGAGAAGCACCUGAUUCCAUGACACAUCUGGAAGAGACUGCAGUGGCCAGAAAUGCUCAUCUGGGCUAUGACAGCAGGCUGGCUUGUUCUCUUUUAGGACCUGGGGUAAUGUGAGGAGUUUUGCUAUUAUAAAUGAUUCCAUAAAUACAGGCACACCUAUUUUAACACCAA